ACUGCUAUUGGGGUUCGACUAAGCCGUGCGAGUUUUCCGCGAGGAAGCAAACUGCUGAGUAACACGUGGGUAACCUAACUUAAGGCAGGGGAUAACCUCGAGAAAUUGAGGAUAAUCCCCUAUAGACUCUGGAUACUGGAAUGUUCCAAAGUCCAAAGCUUCGGCACCUUAAGAUGGGCCCGCGGCUGAUCAGGCUGUUGGCGGGGUAAUGGCCCACCAAACCUUUGACCAGUAAGGGCAGUGAAAGCUGGAGCCCUCAGUUGAGUACUGAGACACGGACUCAGGCCCUACGGGGCGCAGCAGGCGCGAAACCUCCGCAAUGCACGAAAGUGUGACGGGGGAACCCCAAGUGCUCUUGAUUUUUUUCAAGAGUUUUUUCCAAGUGUAAAUAGCUUGGCGAAUAAGAGCUGGGUAAGACGGGUGCCAGCAGCAGCGGUAAUACCCGCGGCUCGAGUCGUCUGGAUUUUUAUUGGGUCUAAAGCGUCGUAGCCGGGCUUUUAAGUUCCUUGUGAAAUCUAACAGCUCAACUGUUAGGCGUGCAGGGGAUACUAUUAGUCUUGAGGCCGGGAUGGGCCAAGGGUACUCCUGGGGUAGGGGUGAAAUACCAAAUCGCUUCGGCGAUAAGGUUUCAUAUUCCAAUAAUCCUAGGGGGACCACCGGUGGCGACAAAUUGCAAGUUUAACUUGCAGUUGCCAUUUAAGGCGCUUGGCUAAAACGGGUCUGACGGUGAGGGACGAAAGCCAGGGGAGCAAACGCGAGAAGUGAGUGAAAAUUGAAAUAUAUUUUCGAGCUUCGAGCGGCUCAAACGGGAUUAGAUACCCCGGUAGUCCUGGCCGUAAAUUAUGCAGACUAGGUGUUACGUGCCCUUCUUGAGUACGUGGUGCCGAAGGGAAGCCGUUAAGUCUGCCACCUGGGAAGUACGAUCGCAAGGUUGAAACUUAAAGGGAUUGACGGGGGAGCACAACAAGGGGUGGAGCCUGCGGUUUAAUUGGAUUCAACGCCGGAAAUCUCACUGGGGGCGACAGUAGUAUGAAGGCCAGGUUGAUGACCUUGCUAGACUUACUGAGAGGUGGUGCAUGGCCGCCGUCAGUUCGUGCCUUGAGGUGUUCGGUUAAGCCCGACAACGAACAAGACCCGCGCCCUUAGUUGCUAGUUAUUCCUCCGGGAAUGACGCACUCUAAGGGGACCGCUGUUGAUGAAACAGAGGAAGGUGCGGUCAACGGUAGGUCAGUAUGCCCCGAAUCCCCCAGGCUAUACGCGGGCUACAAUGGUUGAAACAAUGAGUUGCCACACCGAAAGGUGGAGCUAAUCCCUAAAUUCAACCUUAGUUCGGAUCGAGGAUUGUAACUCAUCCUCGUGAAGCCGGAAUCCCUAGUAAUCAGAGUUCACUAUACUCUGGUGAAUAUGUCCCUGCUCCUUGUACACACCGCCCGUCAAAUCACCUGAGUUGGGUCUGGAUGAGGCUUCGUCUUUUGGCGAGGUCGAAUCUGAGCUCAGCAAGGGGGGUU
rnacentral:rRNA from 1 species